CAAUAGCGUAUAUUAAAGUUGUUGCAGUUAAAAAGCUCGUAGUUGGAUUUGUGGCGUACGGUGGGUUCCGGGCACUUGUUGUCUGAGUAACCUGCUGUUGCCAUCCUUGGGUGGAACCUGUGUGGCAUUAGGUUGUCGUGCAGGGGAUGCCCAUCAUUUACUGUGAAAAAAUUAGAGUGUUCAAAGCAGGCUUAUGCCGUUGAAUAUAUUAGCAUGGAAUAAUGAGAUAGGACUUUUUUGCUAUUUUGUUGGUUUGCGCAAAGAGGUAAUGAUUAAUAGGGACAGUUGGGGGUAUCCGUAUUCCAUUGUCAGAGGUGAAAUUCUUGGAUUUUUGGAAGACGAACUACUGCGAAAGCAUUUACCAAGGAUGUUUUCAUUAA
rnacentral:rRNA from 1 species